GAUGUGGGAGACUGGACUGGUUCCCUUGUGACCUAACGUCAAUCUUUUGUGACACCAACAACUGCAAAGGAUGUAGAAGACCUGCAUUGCUGGUGGCCUGUGUGGUCUGAGGAACAAACAUGGUGUGGGUGACACAAAGACGUAAGAAACAGUCCUACAGCAUGGCUCCAGUUCCUAGGUCUGGAGACUACCCAAGGAAGUCACAGGAGUCAAUAGAGGCAGCUGUGCAGUGCACAAAGAGCAGCACCACAGAGGAAGGACGGACUCAGUCCAGGCAAGGAAGAGGUUUCAAAGCAAAGAGAUUCUCCAGAUGGUUGUGCUUGCUUGCCUGACACAUGGGGCUGAACAAAGCUUAAUAGCUACCAACACCAAGGAGGAAUUUUGUUUCCCAAAAUGCCAAUCCCAAGGAAAGGGAAAAAUAAAUAACACUGACUUGCUGGCGGAGAUAUUGGGGCUGGGCAGUGCCAGAAGGCUCCUACAUGUGUUGGCCCUUGGAGUCCUGGAUGUGCAGGUAAGUAAGAUCUGUGCUUCUCAGAGUUUGCAGAGGGGACUUCAUCUGGGGACUGUUUUAAAGGAGCAAAGUCUUGUUGAUUUUUUCUAAAUCAGUUGGAAACAGAAGUGCUGAGGUACUAACAGGACAACUCCUGUUCUAACCCAGCUGUCAGAGUAUAUCCAAAGAGUGUU
rnacentral:lncRNA from 1 species